AACUUUUAACAAUGGAUCUCUUGGCUCUCGCAUCGAUGAAGAACGCAGCGAAAUACGAUCAGUAAUGUGAAUUGCAGAAGACAGUGAAUCAUCGAAUCUUUGAACGCAUCUUGCGCUCCUUGGUAUUGCGAGGAGCAUGCCUGUUUGUGUGUCAUUCAACUUAUCAACCACUUACUUCAUUGAUUUGUGGCUUGGACGUGGGGUGUGCGGGCCUUUCUCGAGGUCGGCUCCCCUGAAAUGCAUUAGCGGUAUCUUGAGCUUACCACUAUGUAGGUGUGAUAAAAAUAUCUAUGCCUGUCUGGUAUGCUGUGGUUGUGCUGCUCGUAACACGAACUCUGAUGAAUUUGACCUCAAAUCAGGCAGGACUACCCGCUGAACUUAAGCAUAUCAAUAAGCGGAGGCU
rnacentral:misc_RNA from 1 species